UACAUAGGGGGCAAGCGUUAUCCGGAAUUACUGGGUGUAAAGGGUGCGUAGGCGGUUAUGUAAGUCAGAUGUGAAAACCCUGAGCUCAACUUAGGGAAUGCAUUUGAAACUAUGUGACUAGAGUAUGGGAGAGGUAAGUGGAAUUCCUAGUGUAGCGGUAAAAUGCGUAGAUAUUAGGAAGAACACCAGUGGCGAAGGCGACUUACUGGACCAAAACUGACGCUGAGGCACGAAAGCGUGGGGAGCAAACAGG
rnacentral:rRNA from 1 species